CCCGUCUGCUGUGGGAGGGACUGUGUGGAAGGUUAUUGAAUCAUGGGGGUGGAUCUUUCCCACACUGUUCUUGUGAUGGUGAAUAAGUCUUAUGAGAUCUGAUGGUUUUAUAAGGGGGAGUUUCCCCGCACAAGUUCUCUUCUUUUGCCUGCUGCCAUCCACAUAAGAUGUAACUUGCUUCUCCUUGCCUUCCGCCAUGAUUGUGAGGCUGAGGUCCUGUGGAAGUAUACAGAAGACAUCUGUGCAGCAAGCUGAGCCAGAAAGGAAGAGACUAGUAAUUGUUGCAGAAAAAUCAAGAAGACUAAUCUUGCAUCUCCCUUGAAAUAUCCAAGAGGUAUUUCUGGAAAUGCCUGGAGGGAAUUUGUGUAUGAGGAUCAAGAAGAUGAAAAGCAGUUUGUUUUCAUUCUAGAAUCCAGGCUGACUGAUAAGCCCCUUACAUAGACACACUGUCCUUGAGAAAAAGCGAAAAGAAAAGAUGAAAAGCCUAGCAGUGACAUCUAAAGCUUCUGCAGAAAACUUAACUUCAUAUUUUACUGGAAUACUUGACACCUGUAGGGAGGAACACUGCAAAUCACAUGGCACAGGUAGGAAUGGUUAAUCUUCUCACUGCACUUGCAGAGAAUAAUCGAGAAUAUUAAUUUAGUAAUUUGUAUGUUUCCUUAAUUAUAAAUUAAUGUGUUCUAUUUCCCAAGAUUAAUUUGUCCUUUGUAUACAUCUUAGUAGAUGUUGUGUACUCUAGCUCUAUUGUUGCUGUUCAGUUUUCUAUUCAGCAUGGCUAUUUUACUACCUCAUUUUAAUAGUUGAUUAGGUAAUGCCAAAAUAGUCAAAUUCUUAUAAAUUGUGUCUCCAGUUUUUCUUGACACUUUGACAGCUACAUGGCCAAAACUAUUUUCAAUUGAUUUCCUAUAUUUGUUUUUAUUUAAAUGUUUU
rnacentral:lncRNA from 1 species